UACGGAGGAUGCGAGCGUUAUCCGGAUUUAUUGGGUUUAAAGGGUGCGCAGGCGGCGUGUCAAGCAAGCGGUAAAAUAGCGGGGCUCAACCCCGUCGAGCCGUUUGAACUGGCGCGCUUGAGUUCAGGCGAGGUAGGCGGAAUGCGUGGUGUAGCGGUGAAAUGCAUAGAUAUCACGCAGAACUCCGAUUGCGAAGGCAGCGCACCGGCGCCCUACUGACGCUCAGGCACGAAAGCGUGGGUAUCGAACAGG
rnacentral:rRNA from 1 species